UAAAAAAUAUUGUAUUUCAUUUGUUUGAAAAUAGACUUUUUGUUUGCAAUAAUUGGGAUUUUGUUUACUCAGACUCUACUGGAUUUGCUCUCCCUGAAAAAAAGCAAUAUUUUUGAAUGAUUAAAUCGUUCAAAUUUAUUUGCAAUUUGUGUAUUUUGAUUGUGUGGUUAAUUUUUGCUUGCUCAAUUCCUAAAGUGUUGUUUGAAAAUAAAUAUGACUUCAUACUCAUAAUAUCAUAAUUUCAACCAAGUCAUUUUGAAUAACGAACAACUUCUAGUUUGAGUUUAGGAGCUGCAAUAAUUUCAAACAACUAUAUUGUAUUAUUAGCUGUAUGAGCCCUUUAUUGGCCUUACAACAGGUAGAAGAGAACUGUGGUCCAUCAUCUGUGGAAAUAUAGCACUCAUGUGAGGACUGUUGUCAUUUAAAACAGCAAAUAGCUUUUAAGACACAACAGGUAAGAGCUGCAAUAAUAUACUGGUGAAGUAAAAAGUGCAUUUUCAAGGUUGUUUUGCUUCUUUGCGAGUAUUUCCGCAGCAGCGGAAGUAAUUAGUGCAUGAUGGCGUGCAGCUGAUGACUGAAUGUGUAUCAGGUGUGUUGGUGGCGCCUUCUCUCUCUUUGUCACUCUUCCACACAGUCAACACGUCGCAUCGUCGUUCAGCCGCAGGAAACAAGCAGCAACAGCUCAAACUCAGAAACUUAAAGUCGUUUCUAACUCGACGUUGAAAAAUGUUUAGGAGAUUCUGACUGAGGAAGAGCGUUUUUAUUUUGUUUUUAAAAACGCCGCGCUGCCCACAUCACCGCGUGUGACGUCAGACCCUCGAAGUAGCGCCAUUAAUUCCAACACUGGUGUGGUUAUACUUUAUAUUAUAACCUUGUUUAGCGUUACUAAUGUGGGCAGAAGGUGUGAGAGUGUUUUAUACCUGGCCCAGAUUCAUGAGUCAUCCUGAAAGUUCCUCGAGAUCAUGCUGAGCACACCUGCCUUUACAAAACACCUGAGAAUCACUGAACAGGUUGAAACUUCAUGAAGAUCUUCAAACAGUAAGGGUCAUUCUUUUUAUCGUGGGUGUUGCUGUACUCCCACUUUAUCCUGUUGCUCGGCCAUAUGUGUACAUUUCAUAUGGCCGCCGUGCCAUUGUGACUUGUUCUUUUAGAAUAGAAUACAAUAGAAUAUCUUUAUUUGUCAUUGUAACAGGUACAAUGAAAUUAAGUGCAUUCCUAUGGACAUAAAAAAGCCAUAUCCCACCCAUACGCAUCUACAUUCAUAAGAUGUAAAACAUAAAAGCUAUGCUUUGGUUUUUAACACAGUGAUCUAUCAACUAUUUCGAUGGCAUGUCCACAUCUAAGUCUCCUUUAUUUCUUGAACAGCUGUGGAGAAUAACACGUGGUACAAUAACCGUGAGCAGUGUAAAUAAUUCAAAAUGAGUCCGCCUGUACUCUUUCUGCACUGCCCAUUAGUCGAAAGUGCAGUCUUAAAUCCAUCACCCCCAAAAUGUAUUGUUCUUUGUGGUUCACUUUAGAAGUGUAGGGCCGGCUUGUCUCUCUCUGCCAAAUUGGCUUUCAUCUGGAGACUAAUUUUCUGUAUUUCCGUUUUAUCCGUGUCUUAUGUUGGGAGGCCUCCCAUCAGGGGAAUUUAACCUACCCCUGCAAAACUUUGCGACGCUUUUGAAGGAUAUUUUGAACAGUUUCAUGCAUGAAAUUCACCUAACUUGACAGUUUGAUACUUGGAAUUCACCGCCCUUGAUGGGUCGAGUACUGAAUAGAUGCGUGUUAGGUUUUCUGGAGACGAGCAAACUUGGCAGAGACAGAUUUAUUUAUGUACCAGUUGUGCACCAAAUUCUAUCUACUAUACCAAGUUAUCUGCUAUUAACCUACCUGAAAUGAAAACAUCAUACCAUGGGGCUAUAUACUAAGAUGUGCAGCUGUUUGUUUUUGCUAUGGGACAUUGGCUUGUGAGAUGUGCCUCAACUUAUCAGAAUUUGGUCAUUUAACGUUACCACGUUUCAUUGACUGAGACGACGAAGCAUGAUUUUAUUUUAUGAUGGGCUCUGGGAAACCUACACACCUGAAUAUUUUAUUGUAUCAUCAUAUUAUCUGUAACUGUCACCAAUCGUCUGACUUACCAAAGGUAAUGAUCAGGCAUCAGUCACUUGCAUCACGCUUCCACUAGUCAGCUUGACUUGUCAUUUGAGAUGAUGCUUAAUCUAAUGUCAGGGUUUGUUGCAUGUGAAACUAUGAUUACCUUGAUGUUUGGACAGUCUUCCUCUGCUCCUGAUUCUGCAGCCUCUGAAGUUUCUCUCGACUCCAACCCUUGUUAGGCGUCACAUAAAAUCAUCCCACAUCCUUGUCCCCAUGUCUUUUCUCUUUCUGCAGACUUUGAGCACUCACUGCUGCUGUUGUCACAUUUGCUGAAGGUGCCAUUUCCUAAUUCAGCAUGGCUUUUCAUGUGUUGAGUAAGAUGUGUCAUUAGACCACCAAAGCAAACAACUUGAUGCUUGAUUCAAAUUUGCUGUAAUGUUAAUUAAAUAACUGACAUUUUCUUAAACGUUUGAGAUAAGAUUCUGAGCGUCCGUCGUCUGACCCUUUAGUCGGUCAGGGUUUAAUGAGCUGGAUUUCUGUAACACUACAAGGAACAAGGUAAACUGAGUCGACUCGAGGAGAAUUCUCCUUCCCCUUCUUCCCUGUGUGCAAUGGAAAACUGACAUUGACCCUGACUGUUACAUGCCAUGGCUGUGCAGUUUCCAAAACCAGACAAGGAUCCAUCUGGUUCUGUGAAUCAGCUCACCAUAGCAUGGUGUUAGCCCCUUUAUAUUAGUCAUGAUUCACUUGUAAACAAAGUGAGUCUGAUCUCUUUUGAAUAUCGAGCAGUGCAAGUUGUAAGCUUUGUCACUGGUCCACUGCCACAUCUUACCAAACAUGGAAGUCAUGCUGAAGUUGGAAACCCUUUGCAGAUGUGAAGAUGGUAGUGGUGAUUGUUGAGAGGCUGCAUAAAGAGAAUGAGAUCCAAGGACAACAAUGUGGGAUUAUUUUCAUGUGAAGCCAAAUGGGUGUUGAAGCUGUGAGAAACUUUGGGAGAGGCCACAGAGACGAGAGCCGAGGAAGAACUGUCUAGACAUCUUGGUGAUGGUGGUUUCUCAUGUCACUGACCAAGAUACUGGAUUUAGGGUCGUUCCAAAUGACAAGCCUUGAUGGCCAGUUAGAGCAUGAAGUGAAUGUCGGAUGUCUGGUUGUUGCUUUUGAGAAAGUCAACAGGUGAAUUGUGAUGCACCAGUUUGCACACAUGCAGGAUAGAGGCAGUGUGAUGCAUUUGUAUGUUAUCAUUAAAAUGUUUCAGUCAGGGAAAAGUCAUUUUGAGAUAAUGUGUGGUGCUGAUGGCAUAUUUUUUUUUCGGUGUUAUUGAAAGUCCUCAAACCAAAAUAAUUUCUGUAGCAAAAUGUACACCAACCUUUACUUAUACAGGGUCUAAUACUUGUGCUGAAACUGGUCUUGAUAAAUUGCUUUACCAUUCUAAAACUACACCACAACGGUUGUUAUCAAAAUGCUCGUUUCUCACUAGAAGCUCCACGUUCUCAUAAAUUGAAUACACUAAACACACGGAGUUGUGCUCAUGUAGAAUUUCAGGACUCUACUAACAAUGCGGAGACGCGGUUUAAUUAAAAUGUUCGAGCGUUCAGUCUGUAUCGAAGAGACUGUAGAAAUGGGGGGGAAGCAGGCAGGGGUGAGAAUGAGAUGCACUCCUGUGGGCCUCGACUGGAUCAAAACCAAAGUGAACAGGUGAGAUGUGUGCCCCUCAACAUUUACAACAUUUGAUAAGCUGUAGGAGGAAUGCAAGCAAAAUAUCUAAUUGUUGUUUUUGACUGAAGGUGCAGAACACAGGGACAAGAUGUUGAUGGAGGUCUGCCAGUUCAGUGUUCUGUGAAUGGAUGCAAGGUGUGUUCAGGUACAGGUUGAAACUUCAUGAAGAUCUUCAAACCGUAAGAGACAUUUUUGGUGUUCUGGGUGUUGCUUGUUUUGUGACUGAUCUUGGUCCUGCAUGGUCAGUUGUGUUGAGGAACACAAAGAUGGACAGAUGUGGAGCAAAGUCUGAAGGUUUUGUUGAAAGUUUAACAGGGCAUUGAUCUUUUGGGGCCUGUUGCAUGACUAUGAAGUGGUUUAAUGAACUUGAUAUCUAAUGCAAAUUUUUUGUUAUAUCUUCUGUGGGUAAAUGUCAUUUCUUUAUUUUUGGAUGGCUGCUAUGUCUGCCUCUGUAUUCAAGGUUUGUGCCAUGAAUGAUGUUGGCUGCCAGGGCCCCAUUUAUACCAUCUCAUGCUUCAGCGCUCAUCUACACUGAAUGUAUCUUGACUGGCCUCUUUGCCACAGUGCCUUAGCUUUAAAUCUGUCUGUGUACACAAUGGCAGCAAAUUGUCCUGAUCAUGUUUAGUGUCAACAGUGUAAGAAUUAUUUAAAAAGAAAAAACAAAACAACUAUCUGUACUAAAGCUGUCAUUUGGGUCACAUGUUUCUCUGAUAUUUGAUGGAAAGUAUGCCCAAUUACAUCAUACAUCUUCAUUUUGUACUCAUCAUGGACUGAAAGUCGUUUACUUAAUCUGUUGACCAGUAUAAUUGAUCGUCUUUAAUCACUUUAAAUGACUAACCACUUAACCUUAUAACAUUCCUCAACUGUUAACUACUUAUGCUUUAGUAACAGGUUGCUCAUUCUGAUUGUUUGGAGGAGUUUAAAUUAGCAUUAUUGCUGUUAAUAUCAGUGAAAAUAUUAAUUAAUGUUGUAGUGGUAAUUCUGCCCCUAGACUGAUUUAACCUGCCCAUUAGUCGAAAGUGCAGUCUUAAAUCCAUCACCCCAAAAUGUAUUGUUCUUUGUGGUUACUUUACUGUAGUGGUGUGGGGUUGGCUUGUCUCUCUGCUAAGUUUGCGUUCAUCUGGAGACUAAUUUGAAACGUAUUCCUGUGUUAGUCGUGUAUUAUGUUGGGAGGCCUCCCAUCAGGGGAAUUUAACCUACCCCUGUAAAACCUUGCGACGCUUUUGAAGGAUAUUUUGAACAGUUUCAUACAUGAAAUUCACCUAACUUGAUGUGUAGUAUACAGAAUAGAUGCGUGUUUAGAUUCUCUGGAGACGAGCGAACCUGGCAGAGACAGAUUGUGUUCCAGUUUUACACCAGAUUUUAUUUGCUACUAAGUUAUCUGUUAACGACUUAAAAUGAAAACAUAGCAUGGGCUGACAUUCACAGGAUGCUCCAGGGCAUUUGUAAUGGGGUUAUGUAGUAGGAUGUGUUAAAGUGACGGGGAGCAGCUGUUCAUGUUUGCUAUGGGAUAUUAACUUGUGGGAUUUGCCUCAUCUUAGUAGGAUUUUAUCGUAUGUCUCAAAUGAAAUAGUUUUGUAAGAGCUUUGCCAAACCGACACACCUGAAUAUUUAAUUGUAUCAUCAUAUUAUCUGUAACUUUGUCACCAAUCGUCUGACUUACCAAAGGUAAUAAUCAGGCAUCAGUCACUUGCAUCACGCUUCCACUAGUCAGCUUGACUUGUCAUUUGAGAUGAUGCUUAAUCUAAUGUCAGGGUUUGUUGCAUGUGAAACUAUGAUUACCUUGAUGUUUGGACAGUCUUCCUCUGCUCCUGAUUCUGAAGCCUCCUCUGAAGUUUCUCUCGACUCCAACCCUUGUUAGGCGUCACAUAAAAUCAUCCCACAUCGUUGUCCCCAUGUCUUUUCUCUUUCUGCAGACUUUGAGCACUCACUGCUGCUGUCGUCACAUUUGCUGAAGGUGCCAUUUCCUAAUUCAGCAUGGCUUUUCAUGUGUUGAGUAAGAUGUGUCAUUAGACCACCAAAGCAAACAACUUGAUGCUUUAUUCAAAUUUGCUGUAAUGUUGAUGAUGAUAUUUUCUAAAACAUUUGAGAUAAGAUUCUGAGCAUCUGUCGUCUGACCCUUUAGUCGGUCACGGUUUAAUGAGCUGGAUUUCUGUAACACUACAAGGAACAAGGUAAACUGAGUCGACUCGAGGAGAAUUCUCCUUCCCCUUCUUCCCUGUGUGCAAUGGAAAACUGACAUUGACCCUGACUGUUACAUGCCAUGGCUGUGCAGUUUCCAAAACCAGACAAGGAUCCAUCUGGUUCUGUGAAUCAGCUCACCAUAGCAUGGUGUUAGCCCCUUUAUAUUAGUCAUGAUUCACUUGUAAACAAAGUGAGUCUGAUCUCUUUUGAAUAUCGAGCAGUGCAAGUUGUAAGCUUUGUCAGUGGUCCACUGCCACAUCUUACCAAACAUGGAAGUCAUGCUGGAGUUGGAAACCCUUUGCAGAUGUGUAGAUAGUAGAAGUGAUUGUUGAGAGGCUGCAUAAAGAGAAUGAGAUCCAAGGACAACAAUGUGGGAUUAUUUUCAUGUGAAGCCAAAUGGGUGUUGCCGCUGUGAGAAACUUUGGGAGAGGCCACAGAGUGGAGAGCCGAGGAAGAACUGUCUAGACAUCUUGGUGAUGGUGGUUUCUCAUGUCACUGACCAAGAUACUGGAUGUAGGGUCGUUCCAAAUGACAAGCCUUGAUGGCCUGUUAGAGCAUGAAGUGAAUGUCAGAUGUCUGUUGGUUGCUUUUUAGAAAGUCAACAAGGUGGAGGGUGAAGUACCAGUUUUUCAGUGUUGGACCCAUGCAGGACAGAGGCAGUGGUGAUCUGCUGCACUUGAGUAUUUGUAUGUUAACAUGGAAAUGUGUUUCAUUUCAUCAUUUUGAGAUAAUGGGAUCAUCUGUGGUUCUGAUGGCUUUUAUUCUUCCAGUGUCGCUUACCAAAAUCUGUAGCAAAAUGAUAGGUGAAAUUCAAUCUGACAGCAACCUUUUACUUAUACGAAUUCUAAUACUUGUGCUGAAAAUGGUCUUAACGAAUGGGUUUCCCAUUCUAAAAUUACAGCACAGGAGGUUGAGCUCAUGUGGAAUUGCAGGACUCUGUGGAGACAUGGUUUAAUUUAAAUGUUAGGACAUUCAGUCUGUAUUGAAGAGACUGUAGAAAGGAGCCCUCCUGUGGGUCUGGAUCGGAUCAAAACCCAUAACAGGUGCAGAACACAUGGGCAGAUGUUGAUGGAGGCUGUCUGUUCAGUGAAUGAAUGUAGGACUCGAAAAACCCUCAUUGCCACAAGGUGUUUUCAGAUAUCCACAUUAAAACCUUCUCCCUGCCCCAACAAGAAGUCACCAGCAAACGACUGCUACACGUCUGCCACUGCUCCGUUCUACAAGUAAUCAGUGUAUUGUACUGUACCACAUGAAACCAUAGACUAUCCCAACACAUUAUCUACUGCCUGCAUUUACAGUUACACAUCACUGUGUAAAACUAUUCCUACCACUAGACCACAACAAAGCAGAGCACUUGAGAUGGUCCAUCCCCAUCUGUCCAAGUGCUUCUACAGACUCUAAAUUCAAGUUGGCUUAUCACACCAACAGUUGCUUUCCAACAUGGUUUAAAAAGCAUAUUAAUGGAUUUAUUUCUAAUCUUCUGUCAUUCAAAUUUUUAUCUGUAUUAAAAUGCUCAAAAUAUAA